AGUGGAAUGGCCGAUAAAGGCGUUAAAUUGUAAAUUUAUUAAUGAAAUUAUUCUUCCACU
rnacentral:tRNA from 1 species